GACGAACGCUGGCGGCGCGCUUAACACAUGCAAGUCGAACGGAAAGGCCUGCUUUCCCUUGUGGAUUGCGGGUACUCGAGUGGCGAACGGGUGAGUAACACGUGAGUGAUCUGCCCCCAACUUGGGUAUAAGCCUGGGAAACUGGGUCUAAUUCCCGAUAGGACUGCAGGGUGGUGCCUGUGGUGGAAAACGAUUUUCUAGUGGUUGGGGAUGAGCUCGCGGCCUAUCAGCUUGUUGGUGGGGUAAUGGCCUACCAAGGCGGCGACGGGUAGCCGGCCUGGGAGGGUGGACGGCCACAUUGGGACUGAGAUACGGCCCAGACUCCUACGGGAGGCAGCAGUGGGGAAUAUUGCACAAUGGGCGGAAGCCUGAUGCAGCGACGCCGCGUGGGGGAUGGCGGCCUUCGGGUUGUAAACUCCUUUCGACCGCGAGGAAGCCACCUGGUUGGAAGGGUGGUGACGGUAGUGGUAGAAGAAGCACCGGCUAACUACGUG
rnacentral:rRNA from 1 species